rnacentral:rRNA from 1 species
AUUGAACGCUGGCGGCAUGCCUUACACAUGCAAGUCGAACGGCAGCGCGGGCUUCGGCCUCGCGGCGGGUGGCCAACGGGUGAGUAAUUCAUCGGAACGUGCCCAGCAGCUGGGGCUAGCUCGGCGAAAGCCGGAUUAAUACCCCAUACCACCAUGGGACGAAAGCGGGGGAGCUUCGGAUCUCCCGCCAUUGGGCGAGCCGAUGGCGGAUUAGCUAGUUGGUGGGGUAAAGGCCUACCAAGGCGACGAUCUGUAGCUGGUCUGAGAGGACGACCAGCCACACUGGGACUGAGACACGGCCCAGACUCCUACGGGAGGCAGCAGUGGGGAAUUUAGGACAAUGGGCGAAAGCCUGAUCCAGCAAUGCCGCGUGUGUGAUGAAGGCCUUCGGGUUGUAAAGCACUUUUGGCGGGAAAGAAAAGGAGUGUGCUAAUACCACGGUGUGCUGACGGUACCCGAAGAAUAAGCACCGGCUAACUACGUG